UAUAUACAAAUGGUUCAAGUUCAACCUUAACUGUGAUCGGCAUACCACAGUGCUAAAUAAUAUGGAAGGUUGCGAAAUUUCUGGCAGUAAUAGUGUUGGUCAAGCUUCGAGUGCUGGCAGUCACACACUGGGGGCAAACGAGCAUGCGGCUCACCUGAUGGCAAGUGAUUACCGCCGCCCAUGAUCACCCACAACACCAGCGGCAUUGCAGGUGUGCUGCCGGCCUUUUAAAAAGGAAUAUACUCUUUUCUUUAAGGUUAUGUUGUCUUCUUCUUCGCAUUAAAUCCUUAGUAUUUUCUCAUUUA